UGGGGAAUAUUGGACAAUGGGCGAAAGCCUGAUCCAGCCAUGCCGCGUGUGUGAAGAAGGUCUUCGGAUUGUAAAGCACUUUAAGUUGGGAGGAAGGGCAGUAAGCGAAUACCUUGCUGUUUUGACGUUACCGACAGAAUAAGCACCGGCUAACUCUGUGCCAGCAGCCGCGGUAAUACAGAGGGUGCAAGCGUUAAUCGGACUUACUGGGCGUAAAGCGCGCGUAGGUGGUUCGUUAAGUUGAAUGUGAAAGCCCCGUGCUCAACCUGGGAACUGCAUCCAUAACUGGCGGGCUAGAGUAGGGCAGAGGGUGGUGGAAUUUCCUGUGUAGCGGUGAAAUGCGUAGAUAUAGGAAGGAACACCAGUGGCGAAGGCGACCACCUGGGCUCAUACUGACACUGAGGUGCGAAAGCGUGGGGAGCAAACAGG
rnacentral:rRNA from 1 species